UACGUGGGGUGCAAGCGUUGUUCGGAAUUACUGGGCGUAAAGCGCAUGUAGGCGGCCAUUUAUGUCAGGUGUGAAAUCCCUCAGCCUAACUGAGGAAGUGCGCCUGAAACUGAGUGGCUUGAGUACGAGAGAGGAGGACGGAAUUCCCAGUGUAGAGGUGAAAUUCGUAGAUAUUGGGAGGAACACCAGCGGCGAAAGCGGUUCUCUAGAUCGAUACUGACGCUAAGAUGCGAAAGCGUGGGGAGCAAACAGG
rnacentral:rRNA from 1 species